UCCUUAGGAUUGGACAGUUUGGAC
rnacentral:piRNA from 1 species